GACGAACCGUGCGAACGUUGUUCGGAAUCACUGGGCUUAAAGGGCGCGUAGGCGGGCUGGCCAGUCCGGGGUGAAAGCCCACGGCUCAACCGUGGAAGUGCCUUGGAUACUGCCGGUCUCGAGGGAGGUAGGGGCGUGCGGAACUUCCGGUGGAGCGGUGAAAUGCGUAGAUAUCGGAAGGAACACCGGUGGCGAAGACGGGUCUCUGGGCCGAUACUGACGCUGAGGAGCGAAAGCGUGGGGAGCGAACAGG
rnacentral:rRNA from 1 species